GAUGAACGCUAGCGGGAGGCCUAACACAUGCAAGCCGAGCGGUAUUGUUUCUUCGGCAAUGAGAGAGCGGCGUACGGGUGCGUAACACGUGUGCAACCUGCCUUUAUCUGGGGGAUAGCCUUUCGAAAGGAAGAUUAAUACUCCAUAAUAUAUUGAACGGCAUCGUUUAAUAUUGAAAGCUCCGGCGGAUAGAGAUGGGCACGCGCAAGAUUAGCUAGUUGGUGAGGUAACGGCUCACCAAGGCGAUGAUCUUUAGGGGGCCUGAGAGGGUGAUCCCCCACACUGGUACUGAGACACGGACCAGACUCCUACGGGAGGCAGCAGUGAGGAAGAUUGGUCAAUGGGUGCAAGCCUGAACCAGCCAUCCCGCGUGAAGGACGACUGCCCUAUGGGUGGUAAACUUCUUUUGUAUAGGGAUAAACCUACCCUCGAGAGGGUAGCUGAAGGUACUAUACGAAUAAGCACCGGCUAACUCCGUG
rnacentral:rRNA from 1 species